rnacentral:rRNA from 1 species
GUUAAAAAGCUCGUAGUUGGAUUUCUGGGAGGGUGCCAAUGUCCGUCAACGUGCGUGUGCAGCGGCGCCCUUCCAUCCUUCUGUUAACGCCUCUGGGCAUUUAUUUGCUGGUGGCGGGCUCAGAUAUUUUACCUUGAGAAAAUUAGAGUGUUUCAGGCAGGCUAGGCCGGAAUACAUUAGCAUGGAAUAAUAGAAUAGGACUAUGGUCUCUUUGUUGGUUUGAGGGACUAUGGUAAUGAUUAAUAGGGAUAGUUGGGGGCAUUAGUAUUUAAUUGUCAGAGGUGGAAUUCUCAGAUUUGUUAAGGACUAACUUAUGCGAAAGCAUUUGCCAAGGAUGUUUUCAUUAAUCAAGAACGAAAGUUAGGGGAUCUAAGACGAU